AUUGAACGCUGGCGGCAGGCUUAACACAUGCAAGUCGAACGAGUGGCGGACGGGUGAGUAAUGCGUGGGAAUCUCGCUUAUGGAGGGGGAUAAAUACGGGAAACUGUAGCUAAUACCGUGAACUAGAGGAUGCGCACAAGGGGGAUUCGGUAGUUGGUGGGGUAAAGGCUCACCAAGGCGACGAUCUCUAGCUGGUCUGAGAGGAUGACCAGCCACACUGGGACUGAGACACGGCCCAGACUCCUACGGGAGGCAGCAGUGGGGAAUAUUGCGCAAUGGGGGCAACCUGACGCAGCCAUGCCGCGUGAAUGAAGAAGGCCUUCGGGUUGUAAAGUUCUUUCGGUAGCGAGGCGUUAACUACAGAAGAAGCACCGGCUAACUCCGUGCCAGCAGCCGCGGUAAUAC
rnacentral:rRNA from 1 species